ensembl:lncRNA
UGCAGCGAGACUGACCUGGUUGGAGACCCGGAAACGGGUCAGGAGGAGUUCAUAACCCAAACGGGAAAGAGUAUUAGCCAAUUAGUCCUCUGAUUUGCAAUAAAUUGGUAGCCUUUAGAUUAAAGAAAACAGAAACUUUCUUCUACAGAUGAUCUGAAUUCAUGAAGGCAACACAGCCUAUGGAACCCGGAGUUGACUGUGAUCUUUCAAGCUUAGUCAUUUUAGAACUCAGCCUCUCUCUCCCUCUCUCCCUCUGACCCCGCACACCCUAAGGUGGAUAAACUUACAAUGAACUUACAGCUGGAGCAGUGAGGCGCUGAAGUGGACACAGCCUGCCCGCUCUGGCGGCCGGGGCCUGGCGUCUGUUGCCAGACAGAACCACGGGAACCUUGGGCUGAGCAGCCGUCCGACUUGUGUUCAGCCUUCCAGGUGGCUACUCUGACACCUCACAGCCACACUGGACUGAUCUCCAGCUCCGACAGUCACCAGAGGGUGUACUCAGGGUCAGCGACUCGCACAAAGAAGCUAAGGUGGAAAUGACCUUCAUGAGAAACAGCGUGCGCAGGAAGGACGCGGGAGCUCCAGGGAGCAGAGGGCUCUGAAGGGCGGAGGAGCCACAGGAGGUCAGCUCAGAGCAGACUCUGAAGGAGCAGGUGGCUCAGCUUUUCUCGUUCGUAGACCCAGGCCAGGAACGUCUUAAAACCUUCAGGCUAACCAUGUCACAGCGAGGAUAUCCACAUUCAGGAAUUGGUCUGCUAUUUGGCUACCCUGUUGGCCACACUAAGCAUGUCAAUGACAGGACCCAUCAUCUUUAGCCGUGAACGUCCAAGAGCAGAUGACCUGUGUCCAGCGCUGGCUCAAGUACUCUGACUGAGUCUGUAAUCUACACGACAACCUCACAGGCAGGUCUUUGUUUUCUCCAGCAUGGCUGGGACCUGAGCACUGGCAAGGUGAUGUAAGAUGGGACUGAGAACUGAAUCUUCUUCUCCGCCUUGACUUGUGCACAGUGACAAGGAAAUUACCUGCCACGCCCCUCCCUCCACACAGCUUACUGUCUGCAUUGACAUGACUUUACUAUUUCAUGCUUUACACAACCUGUUGUAUGGAAGUUUCUAUUUAAAUAUGUCCUCUUUAAUGUAUGCGGUUGACUUUUAUUGUGUGGUACUGGUGAUUGAACCCCAGGCUAUGCAUUGAGCUAUAUCCUCAGGAUAAGUUGCCCAGGCUGGACUCGAACUUGUGAUCUUCCUGUCUCCCAGUGUACUGGGAUCACAGGUGAGUACCACCAGGCCUGGCUUGUUGACUCAGUUGUAUCUCCUGCCAACAGCACUAUAUCAUGACUGAAUGAAGUUUAUAUCACACAGUAUUUUCUCUUUAAGGCAUGAUACAGCCUCUUCGUUUUUUUUCUUGAACUCUCUUUUUCCAUUUCAUGGGGAUAUCAUUGAUGAAUAAAAUUUUACAUAUUUAAAUGUACAAGAGCACCACAGCCUCUCCCCCGUAGGAAUACCAGAUGGCGCUUAAUCACUGUCGCUUGGUGCCAUUUUAGAAAUGAAAAUCACCAGCAAAAAAAGUGCAAGAAUGUGAAAAAGAUAGUACUAAGUGUACUACGAAAGGGACCUUGGUUUGCAGUAUGAAAGUUGAAAGAACACAGAACCUAGCCUUUUGUGAUCUCGACGAGGACACCCGUGGGGACUCAUUUUCCCACAGCUCUGUACUCUGUCUGCAAAGGGCCAGGAAUGAGCCAAAGGUAUUGAUUAUAAGGCUGCAAAAUAACUUAGCAAGUAGCUGAAUUUCCACAUACAGAUUUUGUGAAUGAUGAGAAUCAACUAUAAUCACAACAAAUAUCGAAAUGACCUCAGGCCAUAACCUCAGGCCAUCACAAGAUUCCUGUUCUUCUUAAGAUAUGGUCGCAAUCCAUAGCUACAACACCAUUUAUCAUGAGUGAGAGAGCAAACGCUUAGAAACCUGGAAGUAUCUGGAAAUACAUCUUUGCAGCAGAGACUAUGAAACAUGAUUCUGUAAAGUCUUUUUACAAAGAAAAGAAAUAGCUGAGCAGCAGG